rnacentral:rRNA from 1 species
AUGCAUGUCUAAGUAUAAGCACUUGUACUGUGAAACUGCGAAUGGCUCAUUAAAUCAGUUAUCGUUUAUUUGAUUGUACCUUACUACAUGGAUACCUGUGGUAAUUCUAGAGCUAAUACAUGCGAAAAGUCCCGACUUCUGGAAGGGAUGUAUUUAUUAGAUUAAAAACCAAUGCGAGUCUUCGGGCUCGUUUUCUUGGUGAUUCAUGAUAACUUUUCGAAUCGCAUGGCCUAGAGCCGGCGAUAUUUCAUUCAAAUUUCUGCCCUAUCAACUGUCGAUGGUAAGGUAGUGGCUUACCAUGGUUAUAACGGGUGACGGAGAAUUAGGGUUCGAUUCCGGAGAGGGAGCCUGAGAAACGGCUACCACAUCUAAGGAAGGCAGCAGGCUCGAAAAUUACCCAAUCCCGACUCGGGGAGGUAGUGACAAGAAAUAACGAUACGGGGUCUUAAUAGGUCUCGCAAUUGGAAUGAGUACAAUUUAAAUCCUUUAACGAGGAUCAAUUGGAGGGCAAGUCUGGUGCCAGCAGCCGCGGUAAUUCCAGCUCCAAUAGCGUAUAUUAAAGUUGUUGCAGUUAAAAAGCUCGUAGUUGGAUUUCGGAGUGGGCCAGUUGGUCCGCCGCAAGGUGUGUUACUGACUGGUUUGCUCUUCUUCGCAAAGACUGCGUGUGCCCUUAAAUGAGUGUGCGUAGGAUUUACGACGUUUACUUUGAAAAAAUUAGAGUGUUCAAAGCAGGCUAUUGCUUGAAUACAUGAGCAUGGAAUAAUGGAAUAGGACUUUGGUCCCAUUUUGUUGGUUUCUAGGGCCGAAGUAAUGAUUAAGAGGGACAAUUGGGGGCAUCCGUAUUUCGUUGUCAGAGGUGAAAUUCUUGGAUUUACGAAAGACGAACAACUGCGAAAGCACUUGCCAAGAGUGUUUUCAUUAAUCAAGAACGAAAGUUAG